ensembl:lncRNA
AGCGAUUAACCUUGCUCUUCAAUGCAAAAUUGGAUUUAAAAACAGAAUGCAAAAUGAUGGAAUUGGAAAUAUCAAUCAUCAGUUUCCAUACUCCUAUUGGAGGAAAUAAACCUAUGUGAAACCUACAGUCGGGAAACUAUACGACGAAGUAAUCGUGAUCACAUACCGACAAUAUGAGCGCGACAACUAACUCUGCGAGCUACGACAACUUCAAUGUGUUUUAUUUGGACGUGGCUCGGGUACCCACCAUUUCCCAAGAGGCUUCGUGGUCAUCAACACACUGAUGAGCUCCUAGCAAGGCAGCUCCUAGCAAGAUGGUGAACAGAACGACUGAAGUUGGGGAGAGAAAAUGCAGCACCAUUCAUCUACGUGUUUACCUCUCUGGAGAAGACAAUGGAUGUUACAGUUUUAAGAGCUGUCAGGAAUACUUAUUCUUUACCACCACAGUGCUCUAAGCCUGCUUCUCGAUUUAGAUUUAUUAUAGAAGAGCUCUGCUUCUGAGUUACAUUUCACCCUUUGAUAGGUGGGGUUAGCGACGGGGGUCUGUGGGGUACUGGGUGUUGUAACGUAUAUGGACAAUUAUUUGAAUGUGUGAAACUCGCGUCUCUAAAACUGCAUAAAGCGCUGUGCACUUUGAGUAACUAAAUUUGCACAAGAGGUUGGCUUCUCAUAAAAGUGAAACAAUAAAUGGGGCAAGGGAAUUACAAUAAUAUGUCAAUAUUACAGAACAUUUUAGGCAACAGUAGAUGGCUAUGCAUUACUUCAGUGAUCAUAUUUUUGGAUUAUUAAAUAAGAUUGUGCUCUGUGUUAUCGGGCCAUCUUUAUGUUGUAUUAGAAAGAUCAAUGUUUCCCAAUUUAUUGUGAAAUAAUCAUUUUAGUGACAUAUGAGCAGCAUCCCGGGAAUUUACCUGGUCUAUAGGACCAUAUAAGAUACAUGUAUGUUUUAAAUGAAUCAGAUUAUGUAUGAACUAACCUUGUUGUCUUGAAAGCGUCGGAUGGAUCAGGGUCUUGAUCUGGGCCAAGAAAAGAGCAACUGUAAGACGUCUAUUUGUACAUUGACACAGAUACUGAGAGUAGUAUGGUUAUCAUGCUAGUAUACGC